rnacentral:rRNA from 1 species
CAGUAGCCGCGGUAAUACGGAGGGAGCUAGCGUUGUCCGGAAUUACUGGGCGUAAAGCGCGCGUAGGCGGUUACUCAAGUCAGAGGUGAAAGCCCGGGGCUCAACCCCGGAACUGCCUUUGAAUCUAGGUAACUAGAAUCUUGGAGAGGUCAGUGGAAUUCCGAGUGUAGAGGUGAAAUUCGUAGAUAUUCGGAAGAACACCAGUGGCGAAGGCGACUGACUGGACAAGUAUUGACGCUGAGGUGCGAAAGCGUGGGGAGCAAACAGGAUUAGAUACCCGGGUAGUCCCUGUCUCUUAUAC